rnacentral:rRNA from 1 species
CGUGUAGGCGGCUUAUUAAGUCAGAUGUGAAAGCCCACGGCUUAACCGUGGAACUGCAUUUGAUACUGAUAGGCUUGAGUAUGAGAAGGGGUAGUGGAAUUCCCAGUGUAGCGGUGAAAUGCGUAGAUAUUGGGAGGAACACCAGUAGCGAAGGCGACUACCUGGCUCAUUACUGACGCUAAUGCGCGAAAGCGCGGGGAGCAAACA